rnacentral:rRNA from 1 species
GUGGGGAAUUUUGGACAAUGGGCGCAAGCCUGAUCCAGCAAUGCCGCGUGCAGGAAGAAGGCGCUACGCGUUGUAAACUGCUUUUAACCGGGAAGAAACCCCAGGACGUGUCCUGGGUUGACGGUACCGGAGGAAUAAGCACCGGCUAACUUCGUGCCAGCAGCCGCGGUAAUACGAAGGGUGCAAGCGUUAUCCGGAUUCAUUGGGUUUAAAGGGUGCGUAGGCGGAGCGUUAAGUCAGUGGUGAAAUCCUGCAGCUUAACUGUAGACUUGCCAUUGAUACUGGCGCUCUUGAGUGCGCUUGAAGUGGGCGGAAUGUGCCGUGUAGCGGUGAAAUGCUUAGAUAUGGCACAGAACACCAAUUGCGAAGGCAGCUCACUAAGGCGAUACUGACGCUGAGGCACGAAAGCGUGGGGAUCGAACAGGAUUAGAUACCCCUGUAGUCC